GCCUUCGUGGUGUAGUGGUCAACACGUUCGAGAGGUCCGAGGUUCGAAUCCCGGCGAGGACA
rnacentral:tRNA from 1 species